AUUGAACGCUGGCGGCAUGCCUUACACAUGCAAGUCGAACGGUAACGGGUCCUUCGGGAUGCCGACGAGUGGCGAACGGGUGAGUAAUAUAUCGGAACGUGCCCAGUAGUGGGGGAUAACUGCUCGAAAGAGCAGCUAAUACCGCAUAAGACCUGAGGGAGAACGGGGGGGAUCGCAAGACCUCUCGCUAUUGGAGCAGCCGAUAUCAGAUUAGCUAGUUGGUGGGGUAAAGGCCUACCAAGGCAACGAUCUGUAGUUGGUCUGAGAGGACGACCAGCCACACUGGGACUGAGACACGGCCCAGACUCCUACGGGAGGCAGCAGUGGGGAAUUUUGGACAAUGGGCGCAAGCCUGAUCCAGCAAUGCCGCGUGCAGGAAGAAGGCCUUCGGGUUGUAAACUGCUUUUGUCAGGGAAGAAAACUUCUGGGCUAAUACCCCGGGAGGAUGACGGUACCUUAAGAAUAAGCACCGGCUAACUACGUG
rnacentral:rRNA from 1 species